rnacentral:rRNA from 1 species
UACGGGGGGAGCAAGCGUUGUUCGGAUUUACUGGGCGUAAAGGGCGCGUAGGCGGCGCAACAAGUCACUUGUGAAAUCUCCGGGCUUAACCCGGAGCGGCCAAGUGAUACUGUCGUGCUAGAGUGCGGAAGGGGCUACUGGAAUUCUCGGUGGUAGCGGUGAAAUGCGUAGAUAUCGAGAGGAACACCUGCGGCGAAGGCGGGUAGCUGGGCC